UGACGGUACCUCUUGAAUAAGCUCCGGCUAACUACGUGCCAGCAGCCGCGGUAAUACGUAGGGAGCAAGCGUUAUCCGGAUUUACUGGGUGUAAAGGGCGUGUAGGCGGGACUGCAAGUCAGAUGUGAAAGCACGAGGCUCAACCUCGUGUCUGCAUUUGAAACUGUAGUUCUUGAGUGCUGGAGAGGCUAACGGAAUUCCUAGUGUAGCGGUGAAAUGCGUAGAUAUUAGGAGGAACACCAGUGGCGAAGGCGGUUAGCUGGACAGUAACUGACGCUGAGGCGCGAAAGCGUGGGUAGCAAACAGGAUUAGAUACCCUG
rnacentral:rRNA from 1 species